rnacentral:lncRNA from 1 species
AUUUGAUCGAAUAAUAAUUGAAUUUUAUUAUAAAUCAAAAAAAGUGUCUCCAUGAAUACAAAUUGAAUUAAUUUGGAGUUUCCCCACGCAAAAACGCUACAUUUAUUGAUUUAAAAGCAUUAUAUCUUAUAAAAAAAACAAAGUGGAUGAGAAACGAAAACUCUCCGAAGAAGAUUGGACCAAUUUAACAAAAUAUUUCAUUGGAAACAACACUCGAUACAGAGACAAUAAUAAUCCUAAAAAAAAGUAAUUUAAUCAUCAAAUGAGUGAUGAUGUUGGGAUGAUCGUGGAGGAGGAUGUGGUAAUAAUUAUAAAAGUAGACGGCUCAAAAAUAAAAGAAAAAACUCCUUAUUAUGAUAAUAAAGCAAAAAUGAAAUGUAAAUGUACGAUUUGUUAAUAAGAAGGUGAGAUGAUUUUAAUGAUUCAAUCUUAAUUUUGGAAACUUUUUAGGUUACGCUCACCCCACUUGUCCGAAUAAAUGAAUUUUGUUGAAUUUA